CAGCAGCCGCGGUAAUACGGAGGGUGCGAGCGUUGUCCGGAAUCACUGGGCGUAAAGGGCGCGUAGGCGGCUUCUUAAGCGUGCGGUGAAAGUCCGGGGCUCAACCCCGGAUCGGCCGUGCGAACUGGGGAGCUCGAGCACUGUAGAGGCGGGUGGAAUUCCGGGUGUAGCGGUGGAAUGCGUAGAGAUCCGGAAGAACACCAGUGGCGAAGGCGGCCCGCUGGGCAGUGGCUGACGCUGAGGCGCGAAAGCCAGGGGAGCGAACGGGAUUAGAUACCCCGGUAGUCCUGGCUGUAAACGAUCAGUACUAGACGGAGGGGGGCUUGCCCUUCUCGGUCGCAGCGAAAGCAAUAAGUACUGCGCCUGGGGAGUAUGGUCGCAAGGCUGAAACUCAAAGGAAUUGACGG
rnacentral:rRNA from 1 species